GAUAAGGUGAUCAACUGUCAUAC
rnacentral:siRNA from 1 species